rnacentral:rRNA from 1 species
GACGAACGCUGGCGGCGUGCUUAACACAUGCAAGUCGAACGGAAAGGCCCCUUUGGGGGUACUCGAGUGGCGAACGGGUGAGUAACACGUGAGUAACCUGCCCUUGACUUCGGGAUAACUUCAGGAAACUGGGGCUAAUACCGGAUAGGAAUCCUUGCUGCAUGGUGGGGGUUGGAAAGCUUCGGCGGUUUUGGAUGGACUCGCGGCUUAUCAGCUUGUUGGUGGGGUAGUGGCUUACCAAGGCUUUGACGGGUAGCCGGCCUGAGAGGGCGACCGGCCACAUUGGGACUGAGAUACGGCCCAGACUCCUACGGGAGGCAGCAGUGGGGAAUAUUGCACAAUGGGCGGAAGCCUGAUGCAGCAACGCCGCGUGCGGGAUGACGGCCUUCGGGUUGUAAACCGCUUUCAGCAGGGGCGAAGCUUUUGUGACGGUACCUGCAGAAGAAGCACCGGCUAACUACGUG